GACGUAGGGCGCGAGCGUUGUCCGGAUUUAUUGGGCGUAAAGAGCUCGUAGGCGGCUUGUCGCGUCGUCCGUGAAAACUUGGGGCUCAACCCCAAGCUUGCGGUCGAUACGGGCAGGCUAGAGUUCGGUAGGGGAGACUGGAAUUCCUGGUGUAGCGGCGAAAUGCGCAGAUAUCAGGAGGAACACCGGUGGCGAAGGCGGGUCUCUGGGCCGAUACUGACGCUGAGGAGCGAAAGCGUGGGGAGCGAACAGG
rnacentral:rRNA from 1 species